UUAUAUUUAAUGUAAUUAUUGCAUAUUAAAUUUUGAUUUUAAAUGAAUUAAUAAAUAUUAAUAAUAUAAA
rnacentral:tRNA from 1 species